rnacentral:rRNA from 1 species
AGUGAACGCUGGCGGUAGGCCUAACACAUGCAAGUCGAACGGCAGCACAGUAAGAGCUUGCUCUUACGGGUGGCGAGUGGCGGACGGGUGAGGAAUACAUCGGAAUCUACUUUUUCGUGGGGGAUAACGUAGGGAAACUUACGCUAAUACCGCAUACUACCUACGGGUGAAAGCAGGGGAUCUUCGGACCUUGCGCGAUUGAAUGAGCCGAUGUCGGAUUAGCUAGUUGGCGGGGUAAAGGCCCACCAAGGCGACGAUCCGUAGCUGGUCUGAGAGGAUAAUCAGCCACACUGGAACUGAGACACGGUCCAGACUCCUACGGGAGGCAGCAGUGGGGAAUAUUGGACAAAGGGCGCAAGCCUGAUCCAGCCAUACCGCGUGGGUGAAGAAGGCCUUCGGGUUGUAAAGCCCUUUUGUUGGGAAAGAAAAGCAGCAGGUUAAUACCCCGCUGUUCUGACGGUACCCAAAGAAUAAGCACCGGCUAACUUCGUG